UUAAGAGCGACGGGCGAUGUGUGCAUAUUCUAGAGCUAUGAUCAUUUUAAAUAAAUAUAUUUAAUUACUAUCAAAUCCGUAUUCAAAUUUCUUUUAAAAAAAAUUAUUCUUAAAUAAAUUUUAUUGUAACCCACCUCUUCUUAAAUAUAAACUACACCUUGAUCUGAUUUAUUUUUUAAUAAAAAAUUUUGAAUAUUAAAAUUCUAUUAAAAUAUUCAAUCUACGACGAUAUGCAAAUUUAAAAUUAAAGUAUAUAUAAUCGUGGACCAUCAAUUAUAGGACAGGUUCCUCUGAAAAGACUAAAAUACCGCCAAAUUUUUUAAUUUUUAAGAAAAUAACUAAUACUAAUUUAGUAAAAAAAAAUUAUAUUUAAAAUAAUAGGGUAUCUAAUCCUAGUUUA
rnacentral:rRNA from 1 species